AGAUGAGCACUCCCACCUCCUUGAGAGGGUAAGGCUCCCAGUAGACGACUGGGUUGAUAGGCCGGAUAUGGAAGCCCUGUGAGGGGUGGAGUUGACCGGUACUAAUAGGCCGAGGGCUUGUCCUC
rfam:Streptomyces aureofaciens strain ATCC 10762 contig_69, whole genome shotgun sequence.